rnacentral:rRNA from 1 species
UAUUAUAUAAUAUAUAAUAUUUUAUUAAUAUUUAUAUUAAAUAUAUAUAAGAAAUAAUAUUAAUUAAUGCGAAGUUGAAAUACAGUUACUGUAGGGGAACCUGCAGUGGGCUUAUAAUAUACUUUAAUAUUCCAUACAUAAUAUAAUAUAUAUAUAUAUAUAUCAUAAAUUAUAUAUAUUUUAUAUAUUCCAAUAAUAAAUAAAAAGAAGAUUCGGGGCCCGAACCGGGGUCACCGUAGGAGAAAUAUAUAUAAAUUUUAUAUAUUCUAGAAUUUUAUAUUCACUCAUACUAAAAUGAGUAAAAUUAUUAGUUUAUCUCCCUGACUUCUAUUAGAAUUAAGAUGAUGAUAA